AGAGCAACAGAGCAAGGUGGAGGAGAGAAGCCCUCCUGGUACCCAUCCCCACACCAGCAAGAGGGAGCGCCAGACUCACAGCCUCCCAUCCCCUCCAGCCCCAGCCCACCUGACCUACAUCAGCCACCUUCUGAUUGAUUCUGUUUUUUCCUGGGGAAAAGGCCAAAAAGCCAUCUAGGCCUCAACCCCAGCAUCUCUGAACCUCUGACCCAGCCCUGGACUUCCAAAUUUCAGACUUCUUUCAGCUCCUGCUUCUUCGUCACAGGUACACCAGGGCAUCCAGCACAUUGAUUUGUCCCCACUCGCCUUAGCCUGUCUCCUGCCACAGUUGUCUCAUUUUGGUGAAGUGCGUGUCCAGAUUUCCCCAUGCUCCCAGCUGCAACAUGGAUCUGUGAAAGACAGUACAGCAGAAAAGUAUUCACAUCCUGGCUCUCUCUGCCCUUCAUUGUCUUUAAGCUCUUUAACAACUUUUACUUGGAGAGGAAAACAACUAUCUAGACAGGAACACGGAGCAGCAGAGGGAGAAAUUGUGUCUUUACUGAUUUCAGUCAAUUAUUGCAGUGACCACAUGUCUCAGGAGUGUUGAUGUCCAGAUGAGGGCUGACCCAUGAAAGGUCAGCAAGGAAAAAGGAGGACCUAAACUUUCCUCGGUUUGCAAGUUGUAAAAGACCCAUGGAAUGCCAACUAUCCUUGUCCAUGGACAUGUGGACAGACUGUCCAGUGGCUAUCAUCAAUUUUGCAUCUAUUUGUAAAUUCUAUGUCAGCAUUCCUAUUGUCCUAGCUAUGCGUGGCAUUUUUAAUUCUCCUUUGGGCUGGUUGUAGCAUCUUACUGGUUCCCUCAUUAAUUAAUGAACUAAAUAAAAUCUUUGACAUGUGUUCAUUUUA
rnacentral:lncRNA from 1 species